GAUGAACGCUGGCGGCGUGCCUAAUACAUGCAAGUCGAGCGAAUGGAUUGAGAGCUUGCUCUUAUGAAGUUAGCGGCGGACGGGUGAGUAACACGUGGGUAACCUGCCCAUAAGACUGGGAUAACUCCGGGAAACCGGGGCUAAUACCGGAUAACAUUUUGAACCGCAUGGUUCGAAAUUGAAAGGCGGCUUCGGCUGUCACUUAUGGAUGGACCCGCGUCGCAUUAGCUAGUUGGUGAGGUAACGGCUCACCAAGGCAACGAUGCGUAGCCGACCUGAGAGGGUGAUCGGCCACACUGGGACUGAGACACGGCCCAGACUCCUACGGGAGGUAGCAGUAGGGAAUCUUCCGCAAUGGACGAAAGUCUGACGGAGCAACGCCGCGUGAGUGAUGAAGGCUUUCGGGUCGUAAAACUCUGUUGUUAGGGAAGAACAAGUGCUAGUUGAAUAAGCUGGCACCUUGACGGUACCUAACCAGGAAGCCACGGCUAACUACGUGCCAGCCGCCGCGGUAA
rnacentral:rRNA from 1 species